rnacentral:rRNA from 1 species
UACAGAGGUGGCAAGCGUUGUUCGGAAUUACUGGGCGUAAAGGGCGCGUAGGCGGCCUACUAAGUCAGACGUGAAAUCCCCCGGCUUAACCUGGGAACUGCGUCUGAUACUGGAAGGCUUGAGGAUGGGAGAGGGAUGUAGAAUUCCAGGUGUAGCGGUGAAAUGCGUAGAUAUCGGGAGGAACACCAGUGGCGAAGGCGGCUUCCUGGACCGGUAUUGACGCUGAGGCGCGAAAGCCAGGGGAGCAAACGGG